rnacentral:rRNA from 1 species
AUUGAACGCUGGCGGCAGGCCUAACACAUGCAAGUCGAGCGGAUGAAGGGAGCUUGCUCCUGGAUUCAGCGGCGGACGGGUGAGUAAUGCCUAGGAAUCUGCCUGGUAGUGGGGGAUAACGUCCGGAAACGGGCGCUAAUACCGCAUACGUCCUGAGGGAGAAAGUGGGGGAUCUUCGGACCUCACGCUAUCAGAUGAGCCUAGGUCGGAUUAGCUAGUUGGUGGGGUAAAGGCCUACCAAGGCGACGAUCCGUAACUGGUCUGAGAGGAUGGUCAGUCACACUGGAGCUGGGACACGGUCCAGACUCCUACGGGAGGCAGCAGUGGGGAAUAUUGGACAAUGGGCGAAAGCCUGAUCCAGCCAUGCCGCGUGUGUGAAGAAGGUCUUCGGAUUGUAAAGCACUUUAAGUUGGGAGGAAGGGCAGUAAGUUAAUACCUUGCUGUUUUGACGUUACCAACAGAAUAAGCACCGGCUAACUUCGUG